UGGAAGUAAAAGUCGUAACAAGGUCUCCGUUGGUGAACCAGCGGAGGGAUCAUUACCGAGUUUACAACUCCCAAACCCAAUGUGAACGUUACCAAACUGUUGCCUCGGCGGGAUCUCUGCCCCGGGUGCGUCGCAGCCCCGGACCAAGGCGCCCGCCGGAGGACCAACCUAAAACUCUUAUUGUAUACCCCCUCGCGGGUUUUUUUUAUAAUCUGAGCCUUCUCGGCGCCUCUCGUAGGCGUUUCGAAAAUGAAUCAAAACUUUCAACAACGGAUCUCUUGGUUCUGGCAUCGAUGAAGAACGCAGCGAAAUGCGAUAAGUAAUGUGAAUUGCAGAAUUCAGUGAAUCAUCGAAUCUUUGAACGCACAUUGCGCCCGCCAGUAUUCUGGCGGGCAUGCCUGUCCGAGCGUCAUUUCAACCCUCGAACCCCUCCGGGGGGUCGGCGUUGGGGAUCGGCCCUCCCUUAGCGGGUGGCCGUCUCCGAAAUACAGUGGCGGUCUCGCCGCAGCCUCUCCUGCGCAGUAGUUUGCACACUCGCAUCGGGAGCGCGGCGCGUCCACAGCCGUUAAACACCCAACUUCUGAAAUGUUGACCUCGGAUCAGGUAGGAAUACCCGCUGAACU
rnacentral:rRNA from 1 species